UGUGGGAGCGGGCUUGCUCGCGAUGCAGGCGCUGCGGUCUGUCCAGCGGACUGCGGUGAUGCUAUCGCGAGCAAGCCCGCUCCCACA
rnacentral:misc_RNA from 1 species